rnacentral:rRNA from 1 species
CACUGACAUUAGAUACCCGCGUAGUCCAGGGUGUAAACGCUGCAGACUUGGUGUUGGAAGCCCUUUGGGGGCAUUCAGUGCCGGAGAGAAGUUGUUAAGUCUGCUACUUGGGAGUACGUCCGCAAGGAUGAAACUUAAAGGAAUUGGCGGGGGAGCACCGCAACGGGAGGAGCGUGCGGUUUAAUUGGAUUCAACACCGUAAACUCACCAGGGAAGACUGUUACAUGAAAGCCGAGAUGAAGACUCUGCUAGAUUUUCAG